GCUCAGGCUGACAUCCUGGCUGCAGCCUCAGGAGAGACACUGAACCAGAAGCACCAAGCUAAACUGCGCCUGGGUUCAUAUACUCAAAUGACAUAUUGCACACAUCUUUAGGACAGACUGAAGCUGUGGUUUCCCUGUAGCUGAUGGGGUGACUACAUUAUUAAGAAGACUCUGAUGGAAGUGGCCCAUUCAGUUGUUUCUGGAAAACAGGUGCAAAGGAUCCUAUGGAGACUCCUAGGUGCCCCUGGGAUCAUGGAACCAUGAAGAGGAAGCCCCUUUGUUGGCCAUAUGGGAGAUCACUCUUGGGAUACACAACUGGGUUGUGACAUGAGCAAAGACCGAACCUGUUAUUGAGCUAAGCAUUGCGAUAUGAAGUUGUUGAUUUAUCACAGCAAUUAGUCUACCCUGACUACCUUCAGGAGCCGAGGCCACUGUGAGUACCUAUUCUUUGAUGGAGAAUCUAUAGGAAAAGCAGACAGAUUUCAUUUAUUUAACUGUUUUAACAUUAUCAGCUGCCCUGCCAAGAGGCUGAUAAACUCAUUUUAACAUACACUCAUGUUAAGGUAGCUGCAAAAAAUCUGAAGGUCAGAAAUAUGUUAUCCACAAUGACAACUAGGAGCUAGCUGAGUGUCUGUUACAUAGUUGGCCAUCAGUAAGUAUCCCUUGAGGAAACUAGUGUGGGAGAUCAACUCAGCAAAGGUUCAGACGGAAGUAAUGAGGUCAGUGUUCCGAGGAUGGAAACUCAGGUGCCAGUCCGAGUUAAUCAAACCAUCAUGCAUAAUCACAGAGUUAGCAGCAAAGGCCACCGAGCAGCAGGGCCAGGGUGGACCCUGGCAGCUGGACCAUGCAUCUCUCACCAAAUUCAGUCUUUGGCCAAAGCCCACACAAUUCAGGUCCCCAUACUCUAAAUUUGUUCAAAGGAAUAUAACGUUAAGUUUACACAAGUCUCUUUAUACAUGAAUUUAAUCAUGAGCUAUGGCAGGAUAGGCUUGGACAGGUAGUAAUUGGGUUCAUCUCUGUGGCACAAAACUUGAUGAGAGUGAUUUGACCACAUAGAUGCUGUUCUCGCAAAACAAGCCAUCUGGAGGUCAGCGUUCCAGGACUGGAGCAGCAGCCUUAUGAUGUCACCAGGAACCCCCCCCCCACCGCCCCAGCUCCCUCUGUCAUCCUGCCCCCUUGUCCUUGGCACAUGGUUUUCAUCCGCAUUCUGCUGGCCCACUUUUGCAUGAUAAUUGCUUCAUACCCAUCUCCAUAUCAGUGCUGAAAAUGAGACAAAACAAGGAAUAGGUGACUUUUUUCAAGAAAGCAAUAGCUUUCCCAGGACCCCAUCAGAUAUUAGCUUAUGUCUGUUUAGCCAAAUCUGUGUGAGAUGGACACCCUUGCCUCACUGGACUUUAGGAAGUGAUUCUCUUUUUUUAGACAGGUUCUCACUCUGUCACCCAUGAUUAUAGCUCACUGCAGCCACAAACUCCUGAGCUCAAGCCAUCCUCCCACCUCAGCCUCCCAGGUAGCUAGGACUACAGGUGCAUAUCAUUGUGCCCAGUUAAUUUUUUGUUUGUUUGUUUGAGACGGAGUCUCACCCUGUCACCCAGGCUGGAGUGCAGUGGCGUGAUCUCGGCUCACUGCAACCUCCGCCCCCCGGGUUCAAGCGAUUCUCCUCCCUCAGCCUCCUGAGUAGCUGGAAUUACAGGCUCGUGCCACUACCAUCUGGCUAAUUUUUUUAUUUUUAUUAGAGACACGGUUUUGCUGUGUUGUACAGGCUGGUUUUCGAACUCCUGACCUGGUUCCACCUUGGCCUCCCAAAGUGCUGGGAUUACAGGUGUGAGCCACCAUGCCUGGCCGUGCCCAGCUAAUUUUUUAAAUUUUGUUGUAGAGAUAGGGUCUCAUGAUGUUGCCCAGGCUGGGGAAGUGAUAUUUUAUUUGGGCAUAUUUACUAUCCAAAUAAAGUUGAAUUUCUGUUACUAAAAAUCAAGACAUCGACAGAUAUUUAGUAGACAACUAAGAUAAUCUAUGAGACCCAAGAAUUCACUCAUUCAUUAAGUGUGGGGAUAUAAUGGGAUGCUAGUACAGGCAUGACCUUGUCUUCAAGGGGUUUACAGCUACUGGGGGAAAACUAAGCACAUUAGUUAAUACAGAAUAAUAGACUGAAGUAACUGUCCCAGAGAAAGAAUAUGGCCCUAUGUACAUAAUAAGCAGCCUCCUUCAGUGUGGAGUGUUAAGACACAUCUCCAUGGAGGAACAAAUGAGUUGAAGUCUAAAAAGUUAGUAAAGUUUCACAUAUGACAAAGUGUGUGGGGGUGUAUGUAUAUGUAUGUGGAAAGAACUUUCCAGAAAAAGAAAGACGGGUAUGUGAAAAAGAAUCUUAUAUGGAAGAGACAGAAUGGCAAAUCUAAGAAACUGGAAAUAUAUAUAUAUAUUUAUACUUAUAUAUAAUAUAAUAAGUAAAUAUUUAUAUGUAAUAUAUGUGUAUAUUCUUAUACGUAUAUAGCUACAGAUGAAAUAAAGAAUAGACAACAGUAGUAUAGGAUGGGGGCAUUUCAAGGCCUUAUAAGAAAAACUAUCUAAGGAUUUGACACAGGAAGUUGGGAACACCAUAUUUGCCUUGAGAAAAGAUCACUCUGCUGUGGUAUAAAGGGUCAAUGGGAGGCACAAUAAAGAGAUUGCUAUAGACUGAGUCUCUGUGUCCUCCCCAAAUUCAUGGUUGAAACCUAAUGCCCAAUGCGAUGGGAUUUGCAGGUGGGGUUUUGGGAGGUUAUUAGGCCAAGAUAGUGGAACCAUCAUGGAAGGUAUUAAUUCCCUUACAAAAGAGGCCCCAGAGAGCUCCUCACCAUUUCCAUGAUGUAAGGGCUCAGCCAGAAGACAGCCCUCUAUGAACCAAGAGAGGGGCCCUCACCAGCCACUGAAUCUGCUGUGUCUUUGUCUUGGACUUUCCAGCCUCCAGAACUGUGAGAAAUA
rnacentral:lncRNA from 10 species